AUGGCUGUCCUGGUGUUGCUCCUCUGCCUGGUGACCUUUCCAAGCUGUGCCCUGUCCCAGGUGCAGCUGAAGGAGUCAGGACUUGGUCUGGUGCUGCACUCAAAGACCCUGUCUCUCACCUGCACUGUCUCUGGGUUCUCAUUAACUAGCUACAGUGUACACUGGGUCUUCCAGCCUCCAGGAAAGGGGCUGGAGUGUGUGGGCGCAAUGUGGAGUGGUAGACAUACAAAGUAUAAUUCAGCUCUCAAUUCCCGGAUCACCAUCAGUAGCGACACCUCCAACAACCAAGUUUUCUUAAAACUGAACAAUCUGCAAACUAAGGACACAGCCAUGUAUUUCUUUGCCAGGGACACAAUGAGGGAACUCCAGUGUGCCCAGUGUGAUGUGCAGCUGGUGGAGUCUGGAGGAGGCUUAGUGCAGCCUGGAAAGUCCCUGAAACUCUCCUGUGCAGCCUCUGGAUUCACAUUCAGUAGUAUUACAUGA